rnacentral:rRNA from 1 species
CAGCAGCCACGGUAAUACGUAGGUGGCAAGCGUUGUCCGGAAUUAUUGGGCGUAAAGGGCUCGCAGGCGGUUUCUUAAGUCUGAUGUGAAAGCCCCCGGCUCAACCGGGGAGGGUCAUUGGAAACUGGGAAACUUGAGUGCAGAAGAGGAGAGUGGAAUUCCACGUGUAGUGGUGAAAUGCGUAGAGAUGUGGAGAAACACCAGUGGCGAAGGCGACUCUCUGGUCUGUAACUGACGCUGAGGAGCGAAAGCGUGGGGAGCGAACAGGAUUAGAGACCCCUGUAGUCCCUGUCUCUUAUAC